rnacentral:rRNA from 1 species
GAUGAACGCUGGCGGCGUGCCUAAUACAUGCAAGUCGAGCGAACAGACGAGGAGCUUGCUCCUCUGACGUUAGCGGCGGACGGGUGAGUAACACGUGGAUAACCUACCUAUAAGACUGGGAUAACUUCGGGAAACCGGAGCUACUACCGGAUAAUAUAUUGCACCGCAUGGUUCAAUAGUGAAAGACGGUUUUGCUGUCACUUAUAGAUGGAUCCGCGCCGCAUUAGCUAGUUGGUAAGGUAACGGCUUACCAAGGCAACGAUGCGUAGCCGACCUGAGAGGGAGAUCGGCCACACGGGAACUGAGAAACGGUCCAGACUCCUACAGGAGGCAGCAGUAGGGAAUCUUCCGCAAUGGGCGAAAGCCUGACGGAGCAACGCCGCGGGAGGGAUGAAGGUCUUCGGAUCGUAAAACUCUGUUAUUAGGGAAGAACAAAUGUGUAAGUAACUAUGCACGUCUUGACGGUACCUAAUCAGAAAGCCACGGCUAACUACGUG